rnacentral:tRNA from 1 species
GCGAGGUUGGGGCUAGAGGCGCGGGGCUUAAGACCCCGUCCCCGCAGGGGGUUCGUGGGUUCAAAUCCCACCCCCCGCACCA